rfam:Corynebacterium matruchotii ATCC 14266 gcontig_1125149795841, whole genome shotgun sequence.
GCCCCGUUCGUCUAGAGGCCUAGGACGCCGGCCUCUCACGCCGGUAACACGGGUUCGAAUCCCGUACGGGGUA